rnacentral:rRNA from 1 species
UUUAAAGAGAGUUUGAUCCUGGCUCAGGACGAACGCUGGCGGCGUGCCUAAUACAUGCAAGUCGAACGAACGGAGGAAGAGCUUGCUCUUCCAAAGUUAGUGGCGGACGGGUGAGUAACACGUGGGCAACCUGCCUGUAAGUUGGGGAUAACUCCGGGAAACCGGGGCUAAUACCGAAUGAUAGAAUGUGGCGCAUGCCACGCUUUUGAAAGAUGGUUUCGGCUAUCGCUUACAGAUGGGCCCGCGGUGCAUUAGCUAGUUGG